UAUAGUAAGGCGUUUUUUAGCCGAAAAAAAACGACCAUGUAUAGUAAGGCGUUUUUAGCCGAAAAGAACGACCAUGUAUAUAAGGCGUUUUUGACCGAAAAAAACGACCAUGUAUAGUAAGGCGUUUUUUAGCCGAAAAAAACGACCAUGUAUAGUAA